CAAUAGCGUAUAUUUAAGUUGCUGCAGUUAAAAAGCUCGUAGUUGGAUUUCGGGUGGGAAUGGCCGGUCCGCCGUUUCGGUGUGCACUUGCUACGCCCACCUUGCUGCUGGGGACGUGCUCUUGAGUUCACGCUCGGGACACGGAGUCGGCGAGGUUACUUUGAGUAAAUUAGAGUGUUCAAAGCAGGCCUACGCUCUGAAUACAUUAGCAUGGAAUAACACGAUAGGACUCUGGCCUAUCUUGUUGGUCUGUAGGACCGGAGUAAUGAUUAAGAGGGACAGUCGGGGGCACUCGUAUUUCAUUGUCAGAGGUGAAAUUCUUGGAUUUAUGAAAGACGAACUACUGCGAAAGCAUUUGCCAAGGAUGUUUUCAUUAA
rnacentral:rRNA from 1 species